rnacentral:rRNA from 1 species
CCUACGGGUGGCUGCAGUAGGGAAUCUUCCGCAAUGGGCGCAAGCCUGACGGAGCAACGCCGCGUGAGUGAGGAAGGCCUUCGGGUUGUAAAACUCAGUCACUUGGGAAGAGCGGUAUGGGGAGUGGAACGCCCCGUACGAGACGGUACCAGGGGAGGAAGCCCCGGCUAACUACGUGCCAGCAGCCGCGGUAAUAC